GCUGCAGGUCAGAGUGGACGAGUUCUACCCAAAAAACAUCCGCUUCACAUGGACAUUGGGAGGAGAGAAGGUGAAAACAGACGAACCGGACAUCCAAGACCACUCCAAGGAGACCUUCAGCACAGUCAGUGUCUGCUCUGUCCCGCUGUCUAAGGUCCAGGAGCCGGGGUUCAAGGCCUCAGUGGUCAUUGAGCACGAAUCUGUGGGAAAGCUGGAGAAGACGGUCACCGGUGACACCCCAGGUAUUGAUGGGCGCCCCCUGCUGUCGGACAUUGAAAUGCUCUGGUGUUCAAAGGUGGGUGAUCUCUGCACUCUGAGCUGCACCAUCUCCAAAUUCUUCCCCAGCAACAUUUCAGUCACCUGGCUGAGGGUAACUAAGAGAGGAAAUCAGCCUGUUACUGCAGGGUCACGCCAGUGGACGGCGACAGUGGACACACCCAGGCCAGAGAAGAAGAACAUGACCUAUGAGGUGACCUCUACAGUCACGUUUACUCCUAACAGUCUCAGUGAGUUGGAGGAGACAACGUACAUCUGUACGGUGGGACACGUGACCUUCCUGGACAAAACCACGGAGAAGAAGUCUGGCAAACUGGAGUUAACAGCUGACAAGUGUCGUCCCCGGCUCUCCAAUAUGCAGGUUCACUUCACUAAGCUCGGUCAGCCCUGCACUCUGACCUGCGUCGUGUCAAACUUCUACCCCAAAGAUAUCGAGGUGCUCUGGUUGAGGAGACACAAGAAAACACGGAUCACAGCUGAGACAGGGAGAGACUACUGGAGGCACAAUGUGACACAGAUUGGGCCAUCAGUGAAAGAUAACAGAUACGCGGUGAUGUCUCAGGCUGAAUUCACACCUCAGCACCUGAGUGAGCUGGAGGACAUGGAGUUCAUCUGUCAGGUGCGCCAUGAGGCUCAGACGCAGAACCCCAUCGAGAAGAGCUGCUCAGUAAUCUCAGGUCUGCUCUCCCGGCCCAUCGUGUCAGACAUUCAGCUCUCUGACUUUAAAGGACUUGGCCAGCCGUGCACCCUGUGCUGCUCCAUCCAGGACUUCUACCCCAAGGACAUCACAGUGACAUGGAGGCGGGAAGGCUGGAUAGGACCAGAUGUCACGGAUACAAUGUGUGACCCUAACAGAGGAGAACGGAGCUACAAUCUGGAGUCCAAGGCCACCUUCACACCCCACACUCUGAUGGACCUGGAGAAGGCACAGUACGUCUGUACGGUCAACCAUGAGACUCUGAAGGGGAAAGGCAUUGAGAAGAAGACUGGAGAGCUGACCUUACCAGGUCUUGUUCUGAAGCCCAAAGUCUCAGAUGUGCAGGUUCACUUCACCAAGUCUGGUCAGCCCUGCCAAAUGACCUGCAUCAUCUCUGACUUUUACCCCAAAGAGAUCACGGUGACCUGGGAGAAGAGACAGAACGGAAUAGGGAGAAGAGUCAAGGCAGGGUCAGAGGAGUGGACGGCCACGGUGUGUCAGUUCGGGCCAUCAGUAACAGAUACGGGGUAUUUACUACUAUCUCGUCUUGAGUUCACCCCUCAGCCCCUCAGUGACCUGGAGGGCAUGGAGUUUGUCUGCAAAGUGAAACACAUGAGCCUGGAGGAGGAGACCAUUGGAAGGAUCUGCUCAGAGACUCCAGAGAAGUGAGUUAAGGAUGGAGCUGCCAGUCGAGAGGAG